rnacentral:rRNA from 1 species
CCUACGGGAGGCAGCAGUGGGGAAUCUUGCGCAAUGGGCGGAAGCCUGACGCAGCAACGCCGCGUGUGGGAAGACGGCUUUCGGGUUGUAAACCACUUUCAGGGGGGACGAAGCUUCCGAGGUUAAUAGCCUACGGGGUGACGGUACCCCCAGAAGAAGCCCCGGCUAACUACGUGCCAGCAGCCGCGGUAAUACGUAGGGGGCGAGCGUUGUCCGGAAUCAUUGGGCGUAAAGCGCGUGUAGGCGGCUUGAUAAGUCUGGUGUGAAAUCUUGGGGCUUAACCCCAAGCCUGCACUGGAUACUGUCAAGCUUGAGUCCGGGAGGGGAGAGCGGAAUUCCUAGUGUAGCGGUGAAAUGCGCAGAUAUUAGGAAGAACACCGGUGGCGAAGGCGGCUCUCUGGAACGGUACUGACGCUGAGACGCGAAAGCGUGGGGAGCGAACAGGAUUAGAUACCCUGGUAGUCCACGCCGUAAACGAUGGGCACUAGAUGUGGGCGGUGUCGACUCCGUCCGUGUCGAAGCUAACGCAUUAAGUGCCCGCCUGGGGAGUACGGCCGCAAGGCUAAAACGUCAAAUGAAUUGACGG